CUCUCUCUCUCUCUCCCCCCCCACAUCUGUCUCCUCCCCCACCCCAUCUGUCCGUCUGUCUGUCGCUCUCUCUGCCUCUGUCCGGCAGACCCUUCGCAGACCUCCUCUACCCGGACGGGCCCAGCGCCCCCUCCCCCGGCCUGGGGCCCCCCCUGGAUGUGGAGAGACACCCCCCAGGGACGCUGGUCUGACCUCCCGGGGGGGACAGGGACAGCCAGGGGUUAACCUCACGGGGGGGGGACGACACUCCCCUGCUGGACAGGGGUGUGUGUGGGGCGUCAGGUGGAUGGGAUGGGGGGGAGAUGCGCAGUUUUCCCCCCCCCACUAGGGUGGUGUGGGGCACGGACUUCCCCCCCCCGUGGGCUGAGACACACCCGCAGCGACCUCAAUCUGCCCCGCCCCCAUUCUGAUAUGGGGGGGCAGGUCCUGGGUGGGGAAUCAGCUGCCUACUGAACCCCCAUUACCACCGGCACUAACCACCUCCUCCCCCCCCCAAAAAAACCCUCCCCCUUCUAAAAGUCUGGACAGACACCCCCCUGCCCUGCCCUAUCAGUUCCCUGACCCCCACCUGGCCAUUCCUCCCCCAGCACCACAUCCCCCUCCCCAAUCCUAGAGAGAUGCUCCCCGCCCCCCCAUCCAGUGAGCCCCUCACCCCCCCCCACCCCCCCCCUUCCGGCUCAUUUAGGAAACGAACUCAAACUCUCGACAUUCCAGCCCUGGCCGGCGUCCGGUGGAUUUUCCUUUCAAAGUUGCACACAAAACAAGAAAGUCACUUUUUUCUUUCCUUUUUUCCUACUGGAUUUUAUUUCGGGGGAACUGGGGUGGGGGGAUGGGGACUCGACCCCCCCAGGUCCCGUCCCCCCCCGCGUGCACACCCGCCUCCCCGAGCCAUGGGGUAGUAGCGACGGGCACCAGCAUGCGACCUGCUCUGGGCCUUGACUUUGUCCCGUUCCCAGCGCGUGGAUUGUAGCAGGAAUUUCUUUGGUGAAUGUUAAACUGGUCACUGUGCAGAACGGGGUUUGUAUAAUACAGAGCACAAAGGCGAGGCUGUGGCGUGGUGGCUUGGCUGGGGGCAGGCAGGGGGGCGCGCUGGCGGGAGCGGAGCCUGGGCUAUCGGGGAGGGGAGGGAGGGCAUUUCUGACCCUUACGGUUUGGGAGAAAUGUCCCAAAAUGUGUUGCCUGCCUGGGUGUGCGGAGAGCCCGAGCUGAUUGCUCGCAGAGGUGUGAACCGAUCCCUGCCUGGGUCUGCAGAGAGCCUGAGCCAAUCGCUUGCAGAGGUAUGAACUGUCCUUAGGCCAGGUCUACACUACAGCCCUAAAUUGGUACAACUGGGUGUUGCUCAGGGGUGUGAAAAAUUCACACCCCCCUGAGCAACAUCGUUACCCUGAUCUAACCUCCCAUGUAGACUGUGCUAGGUUGGCGGGAGAACGUCUCCCGUCGCCAUAGCUACCGCUGCUCGGGAAGAAGGAUUAACUAUGGGAGAGCGCUUGCGGCUUAGAGGGUCUUCACUGAGGUGCUACAGCAGCGUUUGGAGUGUAAAUCUGCCCUCAGUGUAACGGACGCUGCCUGAGUCGGCAGAAAGCCUGAACUGGUCGCUCGCAGAGGUGUGAACUGUUCUGAGUGGGACUGAUGCUGCAAGGGCGUCAGCCACUCGCUGCCUCCAAAUGGGGCAUUAAAUGCCCCCCUCCCAGCAGGGCAUACAGCGUGCGCCUGGCCCUGCCCCUCUCCCACCAAAACCAGCAAAUUACCAGGGGAUCCCACUGCUGCCACCAAUGGCUCUGGCAGUGCCCUGUUGGGAUUUUUUUUUUGCUGGUUUUCAUUUUAUUUUGGAGCAGGGAUGGCCUAGAUCUUCAGAAGGGACCACUCUGACCUUGUGUGUAUAACAGCAGCCUUUCUCCUCCUCCCCUGGCUCUAUACUGAACUCUGCUAAAAACCUCUGGGGGAAAUCAUGAGGCAAGGGGUUCCACACAUUAAUGUAAACACGUACUUCCUGGGUCAGUUACAUCUCACAUCAGAAGGGACCAUUGUGAUCCUCCAGUCUGACCCCCCCCCGUCUCACCCAGGCCAGAGAACGGACCCCCAAUAAUUCCUAGAGCAGAACUUUGAAUUCCAUUGGAUUCCUUCUAGUGGCUUUGGGAGACCCUACAUAAACCAAGUAAAAAAUGCCCCCCAGUUAGGGGGUAAAAGAAAACCUGGAUUCUUCCUGGGGAUUUAUUCAUUGUUCAUCCACAGCUUUUAUCCCCCCAAUAAACCACAAGAGGGGCAGGGGAAUGGAAAACCAAUGGGAUUAAAAAAAAAAGGGGGGGGGAGAGACGAGGUCUUUGUUUUUCCAGGUUUUGGGGGAUUUUGCA